UUAUUAAAAUUUUAUUUAUUUAUAUUGUUAAAAACUAGUGUAAUUGACGAAAUAAUUAGACAGUAAUAUAUGAUCUAUCACGUGUACAUCAUGCUGACAUAAAUAAACCAAUUUUUAAUAAUAAAAAUAGAUAAACCUUUAAUAA
rfam:Gossypium raimondii Chr01_contig_239, whole genome shotgun sequence.